AAAGUCGUGAUUCCUCGUAGGGAGCGCGAUCAUCAUCAUCAUCGUCAAAGCGAGAGGAACGCGUUCUGUCUCUAUCUCUGUCUCUCUCUCUACUAUCACCUCUUGCCUCCUUCAAAGCGUGCUCGUCCUCCAACAAAGAAGUUAUUUCUUUAGCCUUGGUACGAACGUUUUGGCCUUGAUCAUGACCAUUGUCGUCAACGUAGACAAACUCACGCAACG